rnacentral:tRNA from 1 species
AAGGCUUUAAGUUAAUUAAACUAAUAGCCUUCAAAGCUGUAAAUAAGAAUAUAAAUUUUUUAAGCCUUA